rnacentral:rRNA from 1 species
GAUCCUGGCUCAGGAUGAACGCUGGCGGCGUGCUUAACACAUGCAAGUCGAACGGAGUUUUAACGGAAGUUUCGGAUGGAAGUUUAGAAACUUAGUGGCGGACGGGUGAGUAACGCGUGGGUAACCUGCCUCAUACAGGGGGAUAACAGUUAGAAAUGACUGCUAACACCGCAUAAUAUAGCGAAACCGCAUGAUUUUGCUAUCAAAUAUUUAUAGGUAUGAGAUGGGCCCGCGUCUGAUUAGCUAGUUGGUGGGGUAAAGGCCUACCAAGGCGACGAUCAGUAGCCGGCUUGAGAGAGUGACCGGCCACAUUGGGACUGAGACACGGCCCAAACUCCUACGGGAGGCAGCAGUGGGGAAUAUUGGACAAUGGGGGAAACCCUGAUCCAGCGAACCGCCGCGUGAGUGAAGAAGUAUUUCGGUAUGUAAAGCUCUAUCAGCAGGGAAGAUAAUGACAGUACCUGACUAAGAAGCCCCGGCUAACUACGUGCCAGCCGCUGC